UGUAGGCAGAGUGCGCCCCGGGACCCCGCCGCGUCCCUUCCGGGUGCCCCGCUCUUCUGGUUCCUCUGCUGCUGCCUGGCGCCGUUUUGCAGCCUCCUGGCCCUCGCUGGUCCCUGCUCCGGACUUGGGCGCUCGGCUCCCGAGCCUCGGUGCGGACCGGGAGCUGAGGCCGGGAGCUGAGCCCUGCGGCCGGCGGCCUAGCGGCAUCCUCGCCUGGCGUGGGUGGGAGCGUCUCCGAUCCUGCUUCUCAUUACCUGUGGGUGGUAACUGGAGACUGCUUCGUGAGUCCGUGCCUGGAGUCUCCAAAUUCUAGCACGGAUCCCAAAGCAGGAGAGGCCCAAACCGGAUCCUCAGCGAGCCUUCACC
rnacentral:lncRNA from 1 species